rnacentral:rRNA from 1 species
UGAGGAAUAUUGGUCAAUGGGCGAGAGCCUGAACCAGCCAAGUAGCGUGAAGGAUGAAGGUUCUAUGGAUUGUAAACUUCUUUUAUAAGGGAAUAACCGACGUUACGUGUAGCGUUUUGCAUGUACCUUAUGAAUAAGCAUCGGCUAACUCCGUG